rnacentral:rRNA from 1 species
AUGAACGCUAGCUACAGGCUUAACACAUGCAAGUCGAGGGGCAUCAGGAAGAAAGCUUGCUUUCUUUGCUGGCGACCGGCGCACGGGUGAGUAACACGUAUCCAACCUGCCCUUUACUCGGGGAUAGCCUUUCGAAAGAAAGAUUAAUACCCGAUAGCAUAAUGAUUCCGCAUGGUUUCAUUAUUAAAGGAUUCCGGUAAAGGAUGGGGAUGCGUUCCAUUAGGUUGUUGGUGAGGUAACGGCCCACCAAGCCUUCGAUGGAUAGGGGUUCUGAGAGGAAGGUCCCCCACAUUGGAACUGAGACACGGUCCAAACUCCUACGGGAGGCAGCAGUGAGGAAUAUUGGUCAAUGGGCGCUAGCCUGAACCAGCCAAGUAGCGUGAAGGAUGAAGGCUCUAUGGGUCGUAAACUUCUUUUAUAUAAGAAUAAAGUGCAGUAUGUAUACUGUUUUGUAUGUAUUAUAUGAAUAAGGAUCGGCUAACUCCGUGCCAGCAGCCGCGGUAAUACGGAGGAUCCGAGCGUUAUCCGGAUUUAUUGGGUUUAAAGGGAGCGUAGGUGGACUGGUAAGUCAGUUGUGAAAGUUUGCGGCUCAACCGUAAAAUUGCAGUUGAUACUGUCAGUCUUGAGUACAGUAGAGGUCGGCGGAAUUCGUGGUGUAGCGGUGAAAUGCUUAGAUAUCACGAAGAACUCCGAUUGCGAAGGCAGCUCACUGGACUGCAACUGACACUGAUGCUCGAAAGUGUGGGUAUCAAACAGGAUUAGAUACCCUGGUAGUCCACACAGUAAACGAUGAAUACUCGCUGUUUGCGAUAUACAGUAAGCGGCCAAGCGAAAGCAUUAAGUAUUCCACCUGGGGAGUACGCCGGCAACGGUGAAACUCAAAGGAAUUGACGGGGGCCCGCACAAGCGGAGGAACAUGUGGUUUAAUUCGAUGAUACGCGAGGAACCUUACCCGGGCUUAAAUUGCAGUGGAAUGAUGUGGAAACAUGUCAGUGAGCAAUCACCGCUGUGAAGGUGCUGCAUGGUUGUCGUCAGCUCGUGCCGUGAGGUGUCGGCUUAAGUGCCAUAACGAGCGCAACCCUUAUCUUUAGUUACUAACAGGUUAUGCUGAGGACUCUAGAGAGACUGCCGUCGUAAGAUGUGAGGAAGGUGGGGAUGACGUCAAAUCAGCACGGCCCUUACGUCCGGGGCUACACACGUGUUACAAUGGGGGGUACAGAAGGCAGCUAGCGGGUGACCGUAUGCUAAUCCCAAAAUCCUCUCUCAGUUCGGAUCGAAGUCUGCAACCCGACUUCGUGAAGCUGGAUUCGCUAGUAAUCGCGCAUCAGCCACGGCGCGGUGAAUACGUUCCCGGGCCUUGUACACACCGCCCGUCAAGCCAUGGGAGCCGGGGGUACCUGAAGUACGUAACCGCAAGGAUCGUCCUAGGGUAAAACUGGUGACUGGGGCU